rnacentral:rRNA from 1 species
GGAAUCUUCGGCAAUGGACGAAAGUCUGACCGAGCAACGCCGCGUGAGUGAAGAAGGCUUUCGGAUCGUAAAACUCUGUUGGUAGAGAAGAACGUUGGUGAGAGUGGAAAGCUCAUCAAGUGACGGUAACUACCCAGAAAGGGACGGCUAACUACGUGCCAG